rnacentral:rRNA from 1 species
AGAGUUUGAUCAUGGCUCAGGACGAACGCUGGCGGCGUGCCUAACACAUGCAAGUCUGGGAGAAUUGGGUAGCAAUAUCCAUAGUAAACCGGCGCACGGGUGAGUAAUAUAUAGGUAAUAUGCCUUUUGGUUUGGAAUAACUCCGCGAAAGCGGUGCUAAUACUGAAUGAUGCAGCAUCUCCGCAUGGGGAUGUUGUUAAAGCUUCGGCGCCAAGAGAUUAACCUGUAUCCCAUUAGAUAGUUGGCGAGGUAACGGCUCACCAAGUCUGCGAUGGGUAGCUGAUCUGAGAGGAUGAUCAGCCACACUGGAACUGAGACACGGUCCAGACUCCUACGGGAGGCAGCAGUGAGGAAUAUUGCGCAAUGGAGGAAACUCUGACGCAGCGACGCCGCGUGAAGGAUGAAGGCCCUCUGGGUCGUAAACUUCUGUAGAGAGGGAAGAAUUCCUCGCUUCGCGGGAUUGACGGUACCUCUAAAGUAAGGGUCGGCUAACUACGUGCCAGCAGCCGCGGUAAUACGUAGGACCCGAGCGUUGUCCGGAUUUACUGGGUGUAAAGGGAGCGCAGGCGGAUUUUCAAGUCGAUGGUGAAAUCUUGCGGCUCAACCGCAAAACAGCCGUCGAUACUGUUAAUCUUGAGUGUGGAAGAGAGUGGCGGAAUUCAUGGUGUAGCAGUGAAAUGCGUAGAUAUCAUGAAGAACACCGGUUGCGAAGGCGGCCACUUAGUCCAUUACUGACGCUCAUGCUCGAAAGCGUGGGGAUCAAACAGGAUUAGAUACCCUGGUAGUCCACGCCCUAAACGAUGAAUACUCGGUGUCGGGUCGCAAGAUUCGGCGCCUAAGCAAACGCAUUAAGUAUUCCACCUGGGAAGUACGAUCGCAAGGUUGAAACUCAAAGGAAUUGACGG